GUUGGCGGACCAGAUUUAUCUCAGCGUACGUUCACACACACGCAUGCACGCACGCAUGCAUUCCGGUUACGUAAAAAGUAUGAGAGUAAGACAGUAAUUUGAUUUUACAAUGAAAUCUCUGCGCGUCUGGGCAGUUGGGCACGCAACAACAGAGUCAUUUAAUACGUUUGAACCGAUACGCAUGGCAUGCCAAAUACUCCCACGUGUGUUAGCCGAGAUUUAAAAAGAUCGAACUUGAGGAUAAAAGUGAGAGGCGCGUGCGAAAAUUUUAUAAUCGUUUUGCCUGACUUUUUACACAUAAACAACAUCCUCAACAAGUGCCGCUGUAAAUGAAACUCGAGAAACAAAAUUUUAUACGCCAUGCACUUUUGAUAUCUAUUGUAUGUAUGAGUUCUGAUUUUAUAUUUCGAUUCUUCUUUUUCGUAUUUCGAAAAAUAUAUUGAAGUAUAAAAGCGUGGAAUUUUGUUUAAGUUUAAAACCCAAAAAUUUCUAUUAAUAACAUUUUCAAUUAAUAUUUGUUUUCUUUUAUACAAAAAAGACAGUAUAACUUAUAAUGACGAAAUGUUUACAAUUCAACUAUAUUAGUAAGAAAAUAUUCUGUGUAUCUUUGUAUAGAGAAAAUCAUUUUAUAUUUCACUGCCUCGUCAAAGUAACACAUGAAAAAAUAAUCAAACGGAUGCAUUUAUAAAGUCGUUAAAAAAGUCAGGAGGGAGCGUUGAUCUUCACGCGCGACGAGUUUUUCAAGUCGGACGCAAUUAUUUGCUCGGCGAAGUGCCACAGGAAGUGCCGGGCUGACACGCCGACAAGUGACACAGCCACGAUUUCAUUCUAUAGUAAAUAAAAUUACGACGGAUAAAAAGGGUAUAUGAAAAACCGAGAGCAAAACGGAGGAGCGCUGAAGAUUCCGGCCGGAAAUGGAAAACCCAACAAGUUAAUUCUAGACAUUCUCUAACGAGAGUGGCGAAAUAACAUCCUUCGAUUCUGACUGGUUCGCUGGCGUUUCAGCAGAACAAACUGCCUUAGCUGGAAUUAUAAUUCCGUGCAAGAGGGAUUGAAGAAAAAAAAAAGUCAACACGUGCAGUUGACGCAGGACGUAAAAAUAUUCGUAAUUAACGGACGUAAUUUUAUAUUCUAGUUUGGAAUUAAAGUGACAUAUAUAUUUCUCCGUAUGUCACACGAGCGACAUUUGAUCCAGGGAUACGAAAGGAGAAUUAAGAAUACGUUGUUUGUUCUUUAUUGUCUCCCUCUCGGAAAUUCCGCUUUCGCAGCGUUGCUUUAGUUGAAACGUCAACGCCGAGUAACUUACAAUUAGUACUCAGACGUCACUUUGUGAUUCCCAUUAUAGGUUCUUCAUUUUAUUCGGCGUGAUAAAUCGCGCCGAAAGAAGGAUCAUCCUGACUUUUGACGGGAAAGACACAUGACGGGUGACGGAUUGUGCACCUGGACGUGAACUAAUUGGCACCAAUAGCGCUAAGGUUCGUAGGCCUUUGCCCAAAACCGUCGGACCUGCCGGAGGCCGAGACUGAAAUAAUUUCUCGCCGCGGCAUCUGCAGUGUCAUUUAUUAUGUGGCCAACCGGGCAAUUAAACUUAACUCGGUCGUGCUGGCGCGACGUCGUCCCUGCUCUCUCUCUCUCUCUCUUUCUCUCUCUAUCUUUCUCGUUCUCGUUCUUCUCAGUCCUUCCUCGCAGUUCCUCGCAUCCUGGCGAAGAACUUCUUCGUGGAAUUUACUAAGCUAAUUGUCUGGCGCCGUCCGAUAUUCUCCUGACUGUAUGCACAACUCGUGGACCAUUUGACAAUUAGCUGUUUGCCUUGCAAUUCGUCGCGAGAGCUCUCGUUCUCUCCUCGUCAUUCUCGCUGCACUUUUUUUUUACCUUUUUAAUUAUCAAUCGUCAACCGAGCGCAAAUCAUUUGUUAAAUUUAUUACGCGCAAAUGACGAAUGCGAGAAAUCAGGGAAAGUAAAAGACGUUUCGAGAAAUAUUCAUUUAGGACCUUGAAAAAUGAUUCCGUGUGAUCAGCUUUAGCCUUUCUUGAAAUUUUACCUGCGAAGAUCCUUUUAUUCGCCGAACAAAGACGUAAUCCAAGAUGAGAUCCAAGAUGACUCAGGUGCAGGUAAACGGAGAGUUUGAGAGAUUACAACAUCUUAAAAUGUUUCCAAUUAACUAAGUAAUAAAAUAUCACUCAACUUCUCUCUCUCUCUCUCUCUCUUUAUGUCUCUUUCUGUCUUUCUUUCUCUUUAAAGAAAAGCAUAUUCAGUUUCAUACAAUGAAAUGAAAACUGCAUUAGUCGACUUCUACAAAAUGAAUCCAUUAAAUUUAGUCCUUCGUUAUUUGGACCUUAGCGCGAUUAUUACGAGCUUCGUCGGAAAUAUUAAACUGUGCUUUCUGACAAAAUCUUUAAAUAGAGGGAUUUUAAACGAUCGUUAUCGGACAAAGUUAUUUCCAUUACUUUCGUUUAAAUUAACAUCUACUUUCGAAUCCUUCUCUUACGUUUAUGUAAUGUUACUUUAGCUCAAAGAUGUAAGAGCAUUAUAUGAGAAAAGACAGGAGGAGGCGGACAGUAAUAUAUAAGACUCAUAUACAGAAGUUUCCUUGAGUCGAGGUAGUUACAGACUACGCUAAGAGACUUAGCCGUGCGAUAUUGGAACACACCGUAUACGAUGAAUCUUAUAAGCAGCUUAUAUGCAGUUUGUAUCACAGUUUAACGUGUAAGUUUCCGUGCUUGUCCAGCCUAUCAAGAUCCUAACAACACAAACAAUCUCUGCAAAAGUACGGUCUGUUCAGGUAAACCGCACGUUCAUGAGUAUGACCGUUGCAUGACUAAUAAAGACUAAAAUUUUGACGUUCUAUUAUAAAGUAUUUCGAUUUUUCCUACAAUAGCAAUUGUAUACAGCAGAUCACAUUGCAUUUCACAUAAAAAAAAAAAUUGGUUUCUGAUAAAUGGUUAUAAAUUAAUAAAAAUUGUUCUAUAUAAUUACGUUACAGAAAUUAUUAUUGUAUUAUCUUAUCAUUCUUUAUAAUUAUAUGUUUUCAUAACACCACAGAUUGCAAAUUUUACUACUAUAUUAUAUGAUAUUUAAAAAUUAUUUACACACUGAGAAAAAAGUAAUUGAUUCAAUACAUUUUUUUUUGUUGUGGGCUGCCAAUAAAAGGUAUAUUUAAUGCAACAAUAUAUGGUAUUGCAAUAUAAAUACAUAGUUCAAUCAACAUCAUUGCACUUGCAUUAAUAGCAAAUAUUGUUAUAUUAAGUAUAUCUUUUGUUGGCAGCCCGCAACUAAACGUUUUGUUGAAUCAAUUAUUUUUUCUCAGUGCAGUAAUAAUAAAGAAGACUAUACUGUGCACUUAAAAAACUGCUUUCUAAUAAUUAAUCAACCAUUAACAAUUAAUACAAAUUUUUACAUUAUAGAAAUUACUGAAUGGUUUCAUUGUUUUUUAUAUUUUUAUUUUCAUAACAGCAUUGGUUGUAUUUGAUUUACUGUAUUUAACGUUGUUGAAGAUGAAGAUAUCAUUGCGCGAAAUGGGUGGGAUCAGGCUGGAGGUUGACUUCCACUUAAUGAAGGGGUACGCGACAAGAUAACUUAUUUAUCUUCAUGCAAGCGUGCGUUCUCUCAGUCUGAGUGCGCGACGUUCUACCGAAUUCAUAAAUAUUCAGAUUUUCCGUGGUGGUUUCUAGUAUUUAUUGCAUCGUCGUCGAGACGCGGGACAGCGUGGCGGACAAAGCGUAGUCUGGUCCGAGGUGACUAAGCGGCAAUAUUGUGGCGCCUCGCCGUUGGCAAUACGCCAUGUGCAUCUAUUAUAAGUCGUAGCCGGGUUUGUAGCCGCAAACUGACGUACCCUAGACCUUCACCUCGAGUUUCCCCUGCGAUCUUAACGCACGCUGGUUGAUUAUCGACGCCUACAGCAAGCAGGUUGCAAUUGUCGCAAUUAGAAUCUUCUAAUUACGGUUACAUAAUUACGCAUUUGUUAAUCAUUAAUAAUUUGUGACGCUCGUUUUUUACUUAUGAUGUCUUUCCAUUAUAGAUUUGUUCGAAAUAAAUAAUAUUUUUAAUUAUUUUUUAACAUCUGUUAAUUUUUUUUAUUUACAUAAAAUGUAUUUUUUUUAUAAAGUAACAAUUUAAAUUUUUAUAAAGAAUAACAACUGCGAAGUUAUUUGUAUAUUUAGAUAAAUGGAUUAGCAAAUAGAAAUUCAAAGUUGAAUUUAAAAUACUUUGUGAGUAAUAAAAUAUGUUACUCAAGGAAGUAUUUAUUUUAUCAAGCGAAAAAAAUUUCCAAUGCCUUCAUUGCUGAAUCGAUGAAGUUAUUGAUCGAUUCGUAGAACAGGGACUUGAGUGCACAUUAAAAGCGCGUGACCGUCGUGUGAACACGCGUGCGACGAAUCUUAAUGUUACAAUGGACAAGCAUUACUUUCAUAAAGAGACCUUGCGGCGCAGAGAGGAUGGAAUUAGUAAGCGACUAAUAAAUGUCAGAAAAAUCUGUCCUUUAAACGUCACAGGUAAUCUAUGCAAUUUAAAAAUACAUUCACUGAGCAAAAAAUAUUGUUGAUUUGACAAAAUUUUCCGACUGAAUUAAAAUUUUGUCAGUUCAGGUAUUUAUGCAUUGAACUUAAAUGCAAAAAUUUUAAUUCAAAUAUUUAUAUAGUUAAUUGAAAUACUUAAACAGACAAAAUUUAAUUCAGUUGGAAAAUUUAGUCAAAUUAACAAAAUUUUUUUCUCAGUGUGUUAAUACAUUCUAAAAUACCGAAAGAAAGGAGAAAAAUAACAUCGACAUAAUUCAUUUAUUUCAUGUAAUAUAAAAUACGGUAUAAACUUUUUAGUAUAAACUUUGUCUCUAUACAGAUAUGCUUCUUUUUACUUAAAGUGAUAUUUAGUUUUGACGGAAGCAAGGUUACGUUAAAAUGUGUUUUGGAUUAUUUGUCGCGUGCAGUUUAAUUAAAAAGGAUUAAACAUUUUGAGAUUAAACCUUGCAAAAUGAGAAGUCGCGAGGUAAUUGCACGUAUCUUGGGGGUAGUAUAUCGUGAUUAAACGAAUGAUGGAGAGAGGACUUCGCGUAAGAGAUCGUUCUAAUGUAAAGACUACAUAUACAAAGUAAAGAAACGGCAUCUUGCAUGUGACGACGGAAAUUAGAUACCACGUUGCGGAGGAACGCUAUUAUAUGGGUAAACUCAAGAAGGCCGAUCCCUCUCGAAUAUCCAUCGAGGCAAGAUUUUGUUCUACGGGGGGCGAUAAUGUUUCCGUACUGAAAGGUUUCCGCGCAAUAUUGAUCCGCCAUGAUUGGCGCUUAUUGUACGUAAAAGUUUGAGAGCAAGCGCGAGCGCGGGAGAUAAUUUUCUAUAUAAAAUAGUCCUCUCAUCUCACAAUGCAUAAGGUUGUUAUGAAAUUUAUAAAUAGCAGCACCGUUGCUGUUUCCGACGAUAAAAUCAUGAAGGUGAAUCCGUUGGAUUUAAGCGGCGACGCUGCAGAAUGCGUGAAUCUUCAUAUCCCACGGUAAUAGUAUUUCUCUCGGUGGAGAAAAAGAUUUGCAGUAGAAUAUAUUUCACGGGAAUGUAUUUUGAUGCGACAGUAUUUCGCGCGAGGAUGAGCAAGGAUAUUUCGUUCGGCAACAAAAAUGUUCGUUGAAAACCGAGAUGAAUCUCCGAGGUGCGAAAUACUUUUAUUGAUAAGCAUGACGAAGACAAUUCCAGCAUUGAAAUUCAAUUAUGCAAAAUAUCCCGAUUAUACCCGCUUUUAAUACAUUUUAUAUAAGAAGAAUUAUAUAAAUGUGAAAUAAAAAAAUAUAUAAGAAAUAUGAUAUACAUAAGGAAAAGAACAGGUUUGAUAAGUAUCUAAAAAUUUGGCUAAAUACAGAUUUAAAAAUAAUUUUCUUACUUUAUCAUAAAAGAUGUUCAAACGUUACUAGAAUAUCAAAACUUUUUGCACAGCAUUGCUCAUUACGCUUGGACGUAAUCCAAUAUACCAACACAUAAUUAUUAUAAUAUAUAAUUAUAAAAUAAUACAUUCUUCAAAGAUAUUUUAUGUUUCUUAAUUCACUUGAUUACUUCAUCACUUGAUUACUUCAAUCAUUGAUAAUAUUAUUAAUUUUUAAGAAUCAAGUGAUUAUUACAAUAAUUGAUUAUUAAUACAUAUUUGCGUAUGAAUAACAAAUUUUCUUUUCAUUUGUAUUGUUUCAAUUAUUUUUCAGUUAAUUCUCGCAUGACAUCUGCGGCUUUACGAGAUGACAACCUCCAGCUUCAUCUAACUCUCCUGUUCCAAGUCGGUCAUCAACUUCUUAUCUGGAAUCAGUCGUCUAAGUCUUGGUUGCAGUGCAGUACAGUGCUUACAACCGGCACGGGGACGAAGCUCACGUUGCAUGGGAAUUGGAUUAGCAGUCGGAGAAACGAAAUUCUUACCGUCUUCUUUACCGUAUGUCAAAAGAAGUUGGAUACAUAUGGCCACUCAUAAAUGGAACGUUUAAGCUGAAUCAAUACAACAAUACAAAAGUUAAGCACCUAUAUUUUUAUACGCUCCAUUCUUUAUUCUCUUUCUAUACUUAUGUAUGUUUCACGAAUCAUUUUACGUAGGUUGUAAUACAUUGCUGCGCUACUUACAACAUUGGCAAAUUGAUUCAACUUAAUACUGAUGGUUUCGUUAACAUUACUAAUAAAAAAUUAAAAUCAUAUCAUGAUAUAG